UUCGAAGCUGGGUGACCCAGCCAGCUGCGUGUCAGCUGGCUAUUUGCCCUCGUGUCAACAUAUAACAGGAUAGAGAUUUAAUUUUUCUUCUCUUUAGAUCUCUCUCCUCGAGUCCAUGACAUUUGACCACCGCCACCAUGGCCUGUCACCAGCACCGGCCAAAGGGCUUCCCACCACCGCAAGUUCCACCCUCAGCUCGCACAUCUUCGAAUAAAACCGACACCACUUGCAUAAUCAACGAAGCAGGAAAACCUACGAUAUUACCUUGCCCCAAAUUUACUAACUUUACGUCUCUCCGGCCUCUCCGAGACCUGGAUUUGCGAUGGUUUUCCAGGGGUGGUAGUUGGCAGUGGGGUUUUCUGAGAUGGAAACGGCUUACUUUGGUUUAUAUGAAUGGGAUCUGAACAUGAUCUGGGUUUUCCGGAUGGUAAGACACAAAGAGACGGCGAUUGUUAGGUGGGGGUGCUGUGGGAGUGGCGGUUAACCGGUGGUUCUAUAGCUGUGGCGGCUUGAUCUAGGUUGCGGUGGUUAUUGGCAAUGAUCGGAGUUGGUGACGGUUGUGUGGUGUGGUGCGAUGAUGAUGACGGUGGUUCGGUGGUGGUGGGCGGUGAUGAUAUCGAUGAGGCGUCACGGUGGCAGACGAAGAUCGUAUGGAGAGAGAAGGUUUGUGGUUGCUUUGAAAUGUUCACUUUCUAUAACAUGCAAGUAUGCAACGUGUAUAUAUCUUCCUAUAUAUUAAUAAAGGAACGAUUUGAACAGUAGAAAGGGUUUUUUUUGGUAAAUUACAUACAUAUUUCUGCCCUCAAGCCCUGCACUACACCCACCGUUGAAAGAGAUACGCCAACCAACAUCAUAGAACCCCCCAAAUGGUUCUAUCACAGAGAAACACUUGGAACCGGAAGAAAUCCGGCAAGUGUGAGAGAGGAAGAGUGAUGCAACAGAGAUCCACAUGUGGAAACGACGGUGGUACCAUGGUUUCCGGUCACUGCAGCGGCGGUCAACAGUGGUGGCUAGGGUUUCGAUUGCGGUUUUAGGAGGGAUCAGCGGAACGCGAUAAUGAUGAAGAUGGCCGGCGAAAUACCUAGGGUUUCGGCUAAGUUCCGGCAGAAGGAUCAAAGCUUGCAUGUUCCAUUUUCAAGUAGAUCGGUGACCGGAUUCGCCUGCAUGUGUGUUUUUCCGAUUAGUAAGGUAUAACCCAUCUACCUCACCCCAUCAAUCCAUCACAACAUCUCUGCCUCUGUCCCCGGUUACGUCUAGCGACCAAAGGUGCACGCUACCAAACUCCACAGAUGAAGAAAGUGACGAACUCUCAGACCAUUGAUCAUAUGGACAGAGACAACAACUAGCCACUUAAUUUGUUUGUUUGUUCGUUCGAUUGAGUGGUUAAUUAGUGUAUAAAAAGAUGUUAGCCGAUAACGGAUUUGAUUUUUAUAGGCCCUGGCUGUUCAUUGGUUGUAGAAAGGGCGUUUAUGAAGCACCCUCCGCUUAAACCAAGUGGUAGGUUUUGGUGGAGAAUGAAUAUAGCUGGAAUAAGAGUAUUAGUGGGGAAAGGAAUGAUGGAAUCAAGAGAGCUGACGGAGAUUAAAGGCGAAGCGUACGGGUGGUAGAGGAGGUUAAAGGCGAAGCAUACAGGUGCUGGAGGAGA